rnacentral:tRNA from 1 species
GGGCCUGUAGCUCAAUUGGGAGAGCGCCUGAUUUGCAUUCAGGAGGUCGCCGGUUCGAUCCCGACCAGCUCCACCA